AGUGAACGCUGGCGGUAGGCCUAACACAUGCAAGUCGAACGGCAGCACAGUAAGAGCUUGCUCUUACGGGUGGCGAGUGGCGGACGGGUGAGGAAUACAUCGGAAUCUACUUUUUCGUGGGGGAUAACGUAGGGAAACUUACGCUAAUACCGCAUACGACCUACAGGUGAAAGCAGUGGAUCUUCGGACCUUGCGCGAUUGAAUGAGCCGAUGUCGGAUUAGCUAGUUGGCGGGGUAAAGGCCCACCAAGGCGACGAUCCGUAGCUGAUCUGAGAGGAUGAGCGGCAACACGGGAACAGAGACACGGAACAGACUCCGACGGGAGGCAGCAGUAGGGAAUCGUGCGCAAUGGGCGAAAGCCUGACGGAGCAACGCCGAGUGAGUGAUGAAGGUCUUCGGAUCGUAAAACUCUGUUAUUAGGGAAGAAAAAAUGUGUAAGUAACUAUGCACGUCUGGACGGUACCUAAUCAGAAAGCCACGGCUAACUACGUG
rnacentral:rRNA from 1 species